rnacentral:rRNA from 7 species
UGACCUCGGAUCAGGUAGGGAUACCCGCUGAACUUAAGCAUAUCAAUAAGCGGAGGAAAAGAAACCAACAGGGAUUGCCUCAGUAACGGCGAGUGAAGCGGCAAGAGCUCAA